UUUGUUCAAAUGCUCAUGUUUUGCUAAAAUUUUUGAAAUUCAAAACAACGUUUGUUUUGAAUUUCAAAAAUUUGUCUCUUCUGUGAAAUUUUCUAAUAUAUAAAAACAUAAAUUGUCAACUAAUGUAACUGCAUGGUCAAGAUUAUAUAAUGAUUAUUUGCAAUGGAUACAAUGAUGAUAAAUACAGAUUCCAUUGUUUUUUUGAAACCGAUCGUACAUAAUGUGGAUGUCAAUAUGAACUCAAAAGACUAUAUGAUAGCUUAUGCUGUUCAAAAUGAAUUGAUCAUAGAAAACUUUAAAGU